CGCAAGAUGAGGGCUGCUGGAGGUGGUGAUAAGAAGAAAUGAGAAGAACUCUCUCAUUUGAAGUGGAUGGUUCCAUCUUUCAGUUAGAAGUUAGCUGCUAGAAGCCUUUGCUAUGUUUUUUUGUUUAGACACUGAAGAUUCUGCUAAGAACGUUUGUUUAAUUGGAUUAAAUGAUGUCCUUUUAAUUUCAUUAGCCAUAUAUAUAUAUAU
rnacentral:misc_RNA from 1 species